GUUUUCCUGUGAACAAGCUCUGCAUUUAUUCUACUUCACUGUUGAAACAAACCUUAAGAUAUCCUGUGAAGUCAGACUAACAGUAAGAGUCUCUGAGAAAUGACAUUAUUCAUCCCAGAUAUGGCAGCUGGACAUUUCAAUUUGUUCAUCUUUCUUUUCUAUGCCUUCCAGCCCAUCAAAGCCAAAGACCUUCCUCGGCCCAGUCUGACAGUGAUUCCUACAGUCAUCAGAGAGAGAGGCUCAGUUGAGAUGAUCUGUGCAACUCCUUCAUCUCUCUCUGAGUCUGAGUGUUACUUCAAAUUUGAGGGGCAAGUGGAGUUUACCCUACCAGCAGCCUGUCAACAGACACUCAGAAUCACAGUAAAUCAUCUGUUACGGUGGACAGGUCAAAGUUCACCUGCUGUGGUCAAAACACAAUGUCAAUACAGUAACACAGGCUUUCAGUUUAGAUCCAUAUUCAGUGAGCCAUCUACAGUCACAAUUCAGGAUCAUCCUCAGCUGACAGUGAUUCCUACAGUCAUCAGAGAGAGAGACUCAGUUCAGCUGAUCUGUGAGACUCCUCCAUCUGUCUAUGUGUCUGACUGUAUCUUCAGUGAAGUGGGGAGAUCUAUUCUGCCAGGCUCAACCUGUAAACAGACGGUCGCAGGAUCUCAGCUGCUCUCUUGGACAGGUCAACCAUUACCAGCUGUGGUCCAGGUCACAUGUCACUACACUGUAGGGAUGUCUCACACAUCUCCUGUCAGUGACCCAGUUUCUGUCACUGUCCAGGGUGAACUACAGAAACCAGAGUCACACUCUGUCUCCCCGCGCAGUGAUGGAUACAAAUUUACAGAUCUGCCGGGAGAUCUCAUGAUCAGUGACCCAACAACUAAACAGACAUCUUCUACAGCAGGUUAUCGAAGGUACAGUCGGACGAUGAACAGGAUAGUAGGGUUGGUAAACAAGCAGGAAUCUGGUACAUGGGAAUACUGGAAUGGAACACAUGGAAUACAGGAGAAAUAAUAACGCGGGAACGACUUGGAAAAAAGCACAAAACAAACUGACAACGGGGACAUGGAAAAGCACAGUGUAUCACAAGGGAUGAUGGGAACAAGGAAGACAUCUGGUGUGGGCGGAGACACAAGGAAGACAGGUUCGACUGUUAGUUCUCAUUUGACCUCCAAAAUAUCUGUGAGGCCAAUUACCAGUUCAACCACUGCUUCUAGCACCCCAGCAACUUCAUCAGGUGUGUUGACCAUCUGUAUCUAGUUGUUCUUUACAAUAAUGUGGUGUCUUUACCAAACUGCCAGAGAGGUUAAAUGUUUUUAUUUACACAUUGAAAUAAUUUAAUUUUUCUCUUUUCGUUUAACGAGGACAGUCAGACAACAGAACAAAGCUAGUGCAUGUCACUGAAUAUUACUGUUUGAACAAAUCAGGAUUCAAAGAGCACCAGGUUGUACUGAACCUCAAUAGAGGGAGACACAAAACAAUCAGUGGACCCAGAUGUGGUUAAAUGGGGGACAUUCUGGGAUUCUACCCUCCCCUCCCUCCUCAAUGUCAAUUUUAUACUCAAACACAUAAAACUGACAUUGGCCUCACUCACCGCAUCUCAUCACUCCUUAACAAACAUUCCUGACAGGAUGUCCUUUGACUGUGCUGGCCUAACUAAUAUUGAAGAGCUGGAUUCACAGAGCUUCAGCUGCAGUGAGAGAUUAUGAGAGAGCCCCUUCUUUGGCCUUCUUGUCCAACUUACAAAGAUUCAUACAAGCCUAAAACUUUCCGCUGUUUCUUUUUAUCCACUUUUACACUCUGUCCUAAAUUGGUGUGGGUAAUUAUUUUGGUUAGCUUUUUCUUGUGCAAUGUUUGUGGGCAUUCAUGGUAGAUAUCUGUAGGGCAUAUUUAUUAUUUGCUACUGAACAUUCUGUGAAUUACUUUUUGUUUGACCUUAAAUAUUUUAGGAUUGUUUAGUAUGGUACGACAUGUAACACCCUCACAAACAUUCCUCAUUACUAAAAACAGAGGCUCAUAUUUCAUCCCAUUCAGACAGCUCACUGUAUAAUCUAAUCUUUCUUCACGCCAGGCUGGUCUGUUAGUUCUACUUUGGCAACUGGCAGCCCACAGACUUCAACUGAAAGGAAACUAUUAUGGGUGGCAGCAGUGGGUGUGGCUUCUGGAGUGGGCAUGUUCUUGAUGGGAUUGACAGCUGUCUGUCUCUGCAGGAAGACCAAGAAGAAGUGUUCUCAGAGAUCUCAAGCCCAACAGGAUGAACAUAACCAAGGUCCUGCUGAAGAGAACGGACAAUCAACUGUAAAUAGCAAUUCUGGUACAUACCACAUUUACAGCUCCAUCCGAGACAGACCAGCAACCUCAGCGCAGACAGUUGAGUUGUACAGUCUACUGCAGACGCAAGUCUAACAUAAGUCUUUUAUUCUUUUAUUCACUUUACUUGAAAUUAACACUGACACUUGACUUUUGUUACAUAUCCAUUUUGGUGUGUAACCCAAUAAUAACAAAAAGGAAGAAAAAUCUAAUGUGUGUUCUUGAAUUUGUUUUAAAUAAAUAUAUUGUUUAAUAUACACCCUAGUUCAUUAUAAUAUUUUGCAACAUUAAGAUAUAUAUUUUUUAACAUAAGUGUCAGGAGCAGUAAUACUGGUUGUGAUUGGUGAAUGUG
ensembl:lncRNA